CAAAAGCUUUGUCUCCGUUCCUGCUGGUUCGAGAUCCGCACAAGUUUGCUCCCUUCCGUCAUCGGCCUCAUCUGAAGGUAUUCUUCCCCAGCCUGGUCGUUCUGCAAGAGACGCUUGAAUAUUUCGACAUGGAUCUCCACAGACGAAGUUCUGCACUCAUAUGGUGCAUUCUUUUUCUGUUCCACCUCCAUUUAGUUUCGACUGUAGUUGCCUGAUAAACCGUGGAGGACAAGCGCCCUAGCAAACCAUAGAAAUUUAUUGUCAGAACUGCUUUUUAUGCUUGUUUGAUUCUGAUGCUUCCAGUUGGCAUUUGCAUAUCAUCUUUUCAUAGUUGCUGAGGCACUUCUUUUCUUAAAAGUUGUACUCAUACAAGCUGCAACCAUGAGUGGGCACAAUUGUCCUAUGGCACAUAAGUUAGAGUUUAACUUUUUAAUACUUAAGAAGUGCUAUUUUUCUUGAAAUUGUCCAAAUACAUGCUUCUGCUCUGAGUCAGCACAACUGUCAAAAUUCAGAGUUUUGCUACACAUUCAGAUUACUGAUAAUGCCAUAAUUGCAAAUACUUUAGAAGCAUUCCAUGUAAUUGCAACAAUUAUGAAUAAUAAGGUCAUAUAUUUUUUGUAAUUUUCAUCCUUUGAUCGGUCUAUUCUGCGUUGAAGGUCCCGUUCGUCUCUGGCAAAUUCCGCUGCAGCCUCAAUUGUAUGUGCGCUUCAAUCUAUUUUCAUGUUGUUUUCUUGGGCCUUAGUUUUUUUUCUUAGGUGUUUGAUGAACGCUUCACAAAUUAAGCUCCUGUUAACAAUUUCAGAGGUGUUGGUUGGCAUGCAGCUUGUGUGGGCCGAGGUGAAGCACGCUUUAGUCUGUCCCUCAGAAGUUGUUGCCGCCCUCCUCGCUGCCACCGCCGGAGACAAAACAUGGUGGUAAGCCUCCCCACCUCUUAGUUCUUCCCUUUGCUUUGGACAAUUUAUGUACAUGUUAUUACUGUUUAUAAACAUCUUCUGUUGUUAUUGCUGAUAAUCUUGACUUUUCCGGUGUUCAUGGAGGUAACUAAGGUAUAUCUGUGCUGUAGUCAACAAGGGGGCCUACCUAUGAUGCCCAUGCAGUUAAAAAUGUUUGCAGGCCAUCCUAUGAUGUCAGGUUGGAGGCCUACUUAUGAUGUCAGGUUGUUGUACAUUGAAAUUUUGUGGGAUAUUUCUUGCAGAUUGGGAGUUUAUGUUUUUCUCUGUUAGCUUUUAAGAUUGUUGUAGUUAAAACAUGAGAUGGAAGCCUCAGAUUGAAUACUGAGCUAUGUUACAGAAUUACAGUAGUGGCUACCUUCUACAUCAGCCUUUGUUCAAAUAGUCUAUUUUAUAUGUUCGUUCAUGGAAGUUGAUUAUCCUCGCAUACAACUACCCUCAGCUCAGGAAGCCUCAGAUUGAAUACAGAGCUAUGUUGCCAAGGAUUUAGAAGGAAUUAUUUGAUCCUGUUCUGAAAUACUUUUUAAUGCUUAUAUUUGGAUGGGCAUGAUGUGGUGCAUGUUCCACCGAUUCUGGAAGCACACAGUUGAAUGGAAU
rnacentral:lncRNA from 1 species